GAAAGCUGUGGAAGAAUACA
rnacentral:snRNA from 1 species